rnacentral:rRNA from 1 species
GAGUUUGAUCGUGGCUCAGAACGAACGCUGGCGGCGUGGAUAAGACAUGCAAGUCGAACGGGAGAAUUGCUAGCUUGCUGAUAAUUCUCUAGCGGCGCACGGGUGAGUAACACGUGAGUAACCUGCCCCGAGAGCGGGAUAGCCCUGGGAAACUGGGAUUAAUACCGCAUAGUAUCGAAAGAUUAAAGCAGCAAUGCGCUUGGGGAUGGGCUCGCGGCCUAUUAGUUAGUUGGUGAGGUAACGGCUCACCAAGGCGAUGACGGGUAGCCGGUCUGAGAGGAUGUCCGGCCACACUGGAACUGAGACACGGUCCAGACACCUACGGGUGGCAGCAGUCGAGAAUCAUCCACAAUGGGGGAAACCCUGAUGGUGCGACGCCGCGUGGGGGAAUGAAGGUCUUCGGAUUGUAAACCCCUGUCAUGUGGGAGCAAAUUAAAAAGAUAGUACCACAAGAGGAAGAGACGGCUAACUCUGUGCCAGCCGCCGCCGUAAG